rnacentral:rRNA from 1 species
GAAAAGUUUCUAAGCUUCAGGUCACAAGAGACCGUACCCCAAACCGACACAGGUGGUCAGGUAGAGAAUACCAAGGCGCUUGAGAGAACUCGGGUGAAGGAACUAGGCAAAAUGGUACCGUAACUUCGGGAGAAGGUACGCCGCUUAUGGUGAUGGGRYUUGCCCCGUAAGCUGUGAGCGGUCGAAGAAACCAGGUGGCUGCAACUGUUUAUUAAAAACAUAGCACUGUGCCAACACGAAAGUGGACGUAUACGGUGUGACGCCUGCCCGGUGCCGGAAGGUUAAUUGAUGGGGUUAUCUUCG